rnacentral:misc_RNA from 1 species
GAUGAAGAACGCAGCGAAAUGCGAUAAGUAAUGUGAAUUGCAGAAUUCAGUGAAUCAUCGAGUCUUUGAACGCACAUUGCGCCCCCUGGUAUUCCGGGGGGCAUGCCUGUCCGAGCGUCAUUGCCGCCCUCAAGCACGGCUUGUGUGUUGGGCCCCCGCCCCCCGGCUUCGGGGGGCGGGCCCGAAAGGCAGCGGCGGCACCGCGUCCGGUCCUCGAGCGUAUGGGCUUCGUCACCCGCUCUGUAGGCCCGGCCGGCGCCCGCCGGCGACCCCAAUCAAUCUUUCCAGGUUGACCUCGGAUCAGGUAGGGAUACCCGCUGAACUUAAGCAUAUCAAUAGGCGGAGGA